GAGUCCUUCCGCCCGGACCCCCGACCCGGCGCUGUCGCCUCCAAGUGCGCAGAUGCGACUCCAGGCGGAGCGGCGUCGAGCUCGAGCCUUUUGUGUCCCCGCGCUCCGUGGUUCUGGCCGGCGGCCCCGUCCGCUCCUUCAGCAGUCCGGGAGAGCGCAGCCCACGAGGACCCAGCCCCGUGGUCAGAGCGGGGCCCGGAGCAGGUCCGGGGGGAGCAGGAAUGAGUUCUAGAGGAAGGCAAACCUGACCUCAAAAAUCUCUCUGUAGAGUUUCACAGCGGAGUUGGGUGAUUUACAGGAAGAAACAGGUUAUGUGUUGCUGAAAAGUCCAUUUUCAUCUCAUCAGAAACAGUAUAUACUGAGAAAAAAAUAGCAGGACAAGGAAGAAAAGCUGAUCAUGGAUUAUCUUACCAUUGAAGUUGAGCCAACAGCCAUGACUACUGAUGCUUCUCUAACCCCAAAACAGAGCACAGAAGAAAUGGAACCUACUGUUGAACUUCUUCCUGUCGAGUUCCAGGAAUUGAUGACAGUCAAAGAUGAGGAAAUGGACUUCACACAUGAAGAGCUGGAAGAGCUGAAUUCUGCCCACAGAUACAUGGGCAUGGAUAUGAAGGUGGAUAAUUAUGGAAGCCUAGUAUUUUGGGAUUCUGAAUCUAUGCCUGAAACUAAAGAGUUUUUUUCAAAGCAGGAAGUUUAUGAAGAGGAAUCACCUGAAAGGGAACUGGUAAUAGAAAGACUUGAAAAGGAUGAUUCCUGGGGCUCCACAUUGUUAGAAGCCUGGGAAUGUGAACACUCAUUAGAAAGGCAUCCAGGAAAUCUGAAGAAAGAUUUAAGGCCAGUCAUAAUCAAACGUAAGAGAAAAACUGCAGAGCAUUAUCAUGAAAUUGGGGAGAGCUCCAACCCAAUUAAACAUCAGAAAGUUUACCGGGCGAAAAAGCGAUGGGAAUGCAAUGUAUGUGGGAAGUGCUUCAGUUACUGCUCAGCCUUUGUCUUACAUCAGAGGAUUCAUACUGGAGAGAAGCCCUUUGAGUGUAGUGAGUGUGGAAAGGCCUUUAGCCGGAGCUCAUCACUUAUUCAGCACCAGAGGACUCACACUGGAGAGAAGCCUUAUGAGUGCAGUGAAUGUGGGAAAGCCUUUAGUCACCGGUCUGCUCUUAUUCAACAUCACAUCAUUCACACUGGAGAAAAGCCCUAUGAGUGCAAUGAGUGUGGGAAGGCCUUCAACCAAAGCACAUACCUCAUUCAGCACCACAGAAUACACACUGGCGAGAAACCCUACAAGUGUAAGGAAUGUGGAAAAGCUUUCAAUGACACUUCUUCUCUCAUUAAACAUCAAAGGGUUCAUACUGGAGAAAAACCCUAUGACUGUAAAGAGUGUGGGAAAGCCUUCAGUGACCGGUCAGGUCUUAUUCAACAUCAGAGAACUCAUACAGGGGAAAAGCCGUAUGAAUGUAGUGAAUGUGGAAAAGCAUUUAGUUAUUGCUCAGCUCUCAUUCAACACCAAGGAACACACACUGGGAAGAAACCUUACAAAUGUAUUGAGUGUGGGAAAGCUUUCAGUGACCGGUCAGCUCUUGUGAGACAUCAGAGAAUUCAUACUGGAGAGAGACCUUACAAAUGUCAAGAAUGUGAGAAAGCCUUCAGCCAGAGCUCAUCCCUUACAAAGCACCUGAGAACACACACUGGAGAGAAACCAUAUAAAUGCAACAAUUGUGAGAAAGCCUUCAGCCAGAGUUCAUCUCUUAUUCAACACCAGAAAAUUCACACAGGAGAAAAGUCCUACAAAUCCUACCCUGACAGGCCAGCUCCUUCCCCUUGUGCAAGAUCAGGACAGCGAAGUGAUGUUCCCAACAGCCCCGUGGAAGGAGUUGCUGUUAUUUGAGGAUGUGGCAAUGUACUUCACCAGAGAUGAGUAGGCUCACCUUGACUGGACUCAGAAGAACCUCUAUAGAGAUAUGAUGCUGGGGAACCACAGGAACAUGAUCUUCCUGGAGGGGCGAGACUGAGCCCUGGGACAUCUCUCUGCAGUUUAUUAACAGCCACCUCCCACUUACUUCUCCAUGAGUAGGAUUUUGGUUUCCUAAACCUGAGGUGAUCUGUCAGCUGGAAAACUGGGACAAGCCAUGGAUCUUGGAUCUGCAGAGUGCUGGGAUCAGGAAAGCUUCUAGUAGUGCUUGCCCAGGUCCCGGAGCCAGUUACAAGAUGAAAAAGCCAACUACACAGCAGAAAAUUUCUGAAGAUUUAGAGUCAUAUGAGCCAUCACUGGUAAUGCAGAAUACAACCAAGAAAUUUUCAGAAAAGUUAUAUAGAUGUAAUGAAGUUGUGGACAGUAGCAAGUUUGUACUCCCCAGUAGUAGCAAUGGAUAUUAAGAUUUUCUUGAAAACCUGGAUCUUGUUCAACAUCAGAAUGCUCGAACAAACUCAACCCAAGGUCAUUAUUUUUGAGGUAUGAGCAUAUUCUUAAAAGAGCAAAGCCUUAUGAAUGAUGUGGAAAAAAACAUUAGGCAUCAGGCAAAUUUUGAUAAACAGCAAAGAAUUCACUUUUUAGAGAAUCCCUUUGAGUGUUCCAUAUGUGGGCAAACCUUCAAACAACGGUCAACUCUUAUUGACCAUAAACAAUGUCACCUGCAAAAAAACCCACGUAACUGUCAUGACUAUGGAAAGUGUUUCCGUCAGCUUGCAUAUCUUGUUGAACACAUGAGGAUUCAUACCAAAGAAAAACCUUAUAAAUGUGGAGAAUGUGAAAAAACUUUUAGCUAGAAUUCAAUCCUUAUUCGACAUCAUUUAAUCCAUAGUGGAGAAAAGCCACAUAAAAGCCUUGAAUGUGGAAAAGCCUUGGGUCGGUUUUCUACCCUUAGGAGCCAUCAACAGAUUCAUAGUAAACAGAACUCUUUAAGUGCACUGAAUGUGGAUCUCCUUCAGCACCAGAGAAUCCAUACCAAGGAGGCAUUCUUUGAAUGUACAGAAUGUGGAAAAACUUUUAGUUUCAAGACAAAUCUUAAAUCAACAUGAGAUCAUUCACACUGGAAAGAGACCUUAUAGAUGUGACAUGUGUGGCAAAUCUUUCAUUUGGCAAAUAAGUUUUAUUAAGCAUCAGGGUACACACAAAGGACAGGGAUGUACAUAAUGGUAUCAGAAGAGCUGUCAUUUAAAGACUAGAACUUAUCAUCUCCUGCAAGUAUAUAUAACAAGUUUCAUGAAAAGUAAUAAACAGAACUGAAGUGGUU